rnacentral:rRNA from 1 species
GAUGAACGCUGGCGGCGUGCCUAAUACAUGCAAGUCGAGCGAACAGACGAGGAGCUUGCUUCUCUGACGUUAGCGGCGGACGGGUGAGUAACACGUGGAUAACCUACCUAUAAGACUGGGAUAACUUCGGGAAACCGGAGCUAAUACCGGAUAAUAUAUUGAACCGCAUGGUUCAAUAGUGAAAGACGGUUUUGCUGUCCCUUAUAGAUGGUUCCGGACAGGAUUAGCUAGUUGGUAAGGUAACGGCUUACCAAGGCAGCGAUUCGUAGCCGACCCGGGCGAGUGAUCGGGCACGCCUGAGCGGAGACACGGUCCAGAGGCGUACGGGAGGCAGCAGUUAGGAAUCUUGCAGGAUGGAGGAAAGAUUAACGGACAAACGCCGCGAGAGUGAUGAAGGUCUUCGGAUCGUAAAACGCUGUUAUUAGGAAAGAACAGAUGUGUAAGUAACUAUGCACGUCUUGACGGUACCUAAACAGAAAGCCACGGCUAACUACGUG